ACUCCUUCCAUUUAUUCGUAAUGUAUUUAUGUGAAAAAAUCAAUUAUGAUUAAUCUCUAAUCAAUCUCUGAAAAAUCAAAUCUAAAUUAAUCAACUAUACCAUAAGUUCCUCAAUCACAUUAAUUAAUAUUUCCAUAUGUUUAAAAAUUACAUUAAUUAACGUUACCAUACCUUGCCCAAAAAACCAAGUACAUGCCCUCCUAGGGCUCACCGCCGCCGCGACUGCCCUCCUCCCCUCGACCCGCCUGCCACGCGACGUCAUGGCGCCUCUGCAUCCUCAUCGAGCUCCUCCUCCUCAUGCCCCAGUCCUGCAUGCAACUCCAAGGACCACACCGGUCUCGUCGCCGCCGUACUCCGAUGCGCCUCGUUCUAAUCAACAUCGGGGCCUCCGCCGCGUCCAGGCUUGUGGCGGCGCACUGUCGUUGAGGCCAUGGCCGGUACCGCGACCACAUCAGCCUUCGUCUUACUCCAGGUCAUCGUCCUCGUCGACUUCGCCUUCGCCAUGGUGCUGGCGUCCUCCUCCUAGGAUUCCUGCAUCGGAGCUGGCAAGCAGCAAGCUACCAGGCGAGCAUGGGGAACUACCUGAUAGCAGCAGCGGCCGUUGAGAGCCACGUGAAGCAACAGCUAAGGCUGGAUAGCCACAUCCUCCUCCAGAUCCCAUCUCUUUUUUCCUCAUCUGACGCCCAAGCGCCACCAUCCGCGUUGGACCACCGUCAACAUCCUCGUGGUAUUGAUGAUCCUCCUCACGCUGUACUCUCCAUCUCUCACCUCUUUUGGGUGGCGAUGACUGUAGAUCGAGGGCAACGGCGGCGGGACCUAGGCCAGCACCGGCGGCGACCCAGCGGCCGGAGCAAGUAAUUAGCCCGUCCAUGGCUGCCAUUAGCAAGGUCUGGCAGAAGGCCAAGUACUCCUAUUGUAAUUUGUAAUUGGUGCACACAAGAUGACGAUAAUGGCCACCAACGACACAAGCACAUCAGGUGGCCAGCAGCCUGACUCGUGGGUGUUGGCGGCUAAUCUAUCAGAUCUGUGAAUAUAUUGCAUUUUGAUAAAAUUCUACUGCCAUACACAUCUAUGGUUGUGUGCUUGCCUCCUUCAACCAAAUGGAACCAAAGUUUGCAUUGUGGUGGCUGGCAUAUGAAAUCCUAAGAUAACCAUAGUUGUGGAAGUCCUAUUUUUUUAUCCUGCGAUGUUGUAUAGAAAAGCCGCAGGAGCAAAAUCCUCAGCUUCUCACGUAAUUUUAUAAUCUAACAAUUCCAACUUGUUGCAUGCAUCAGGUAAUCUGCCACUCAAGCCUCUAUGUAUGUUUGUUUGCCAUUUUAUUUGUUCCAUUGGAGUUAUGACGCUCUCCAUGCAUA